rnacentral:lncRNA from 1 species
UUUUUAUGAAAAAAAUGGAAAUUGAAACAACAUUAAGGCAAAACCCUAGAGGAACAUGCUCCCCUUAGGUCAGAGUCGAGAAGUAAACUAAUACUAAUUGGGAAUAAGAGCGAGGAUUGUGUUAUUCACUUGUCUAAUUCAUGUUUGGAUCGAUAAAGCAAUUUGAAACAAAAUUGAAGAUCGAGGUGCCCACAAUGCCCCCCCUGAC